GACAGAGGGUGCAACCGUUGCUCGGAAUCACUGGGCGUAAAGCGCACGUAGGCGGCUUUCUAAGUCAGGGGUGAAAUCCUGGAGCUCAACUCCAGAACUGCCUUUGAUACUGGAGAGCUUGAGUCCGGAAGAGGUGAGUGGAACUCCGAGUGUAGAGGUGAAAUUCGUAGAUAUUCGGAAGAACACCAGUGGCGAAGGCGGCUCACUGGUCCGGUACUCACGCUGAGGUGCGAAAGCGUGGGGAGCAAACAGG
rnacentral:rRNA from 1 species